rnacentral:rRNA from 1 species
GGAAUAUUGGACAAUGGGGGAAACCCUGAUCCAGCCAUGCCGCGUGAGUGAAGAAGGCCCUAGGGUUGUAAAACUCUUUCAGCGGGGAAGAUUAUGACGGUACCCGCAGAAGAAGCCCCGGCUAACUCCGUGCCAGCAGCCGCGGUAAUACGGAGGGGGCUAGCGUUGUUCGGAAUCACUGGGCGUAAAGCGCGCGUAGGCGGUCCGCAUAGUCAGGCGUGAAAGCCCCGGGCUCAACCUGGGAACUGCGCUUGAUACUGGCGGGCUAGAGUACGGGAGAGGGUAGUGGAAUUCCCAGUGUAGAGGUGAAAUUCGUAGAUAUUGGGAAGAACACCAGUGGCGAAGGCGGCUACCUGGACCGGUACUGACGCUGAGGUGCGAAAGCGUGGGGAGCA